UCAUCGUCACCGUAAUAGCCGACGAAAGUAGAUUCUUCAUAUCCUCUCUUGAUUUAUGUUAUCUUUUAAUCCCUUUGCUACUAUGUGAUAGAAGUGGAAGAAAAAUGAGAAUUAGGGAAAUGGUGGUACAGGUACUGGCCGGGGGUAGGUUGAUAAAAUGAUAACGGAGCCACCAAAAAUGGUUGCCCUUUAUUUUGGUCUUGAAUAAACUGACAAGGGCACAUGUCAAUUCAUGCCCCGCUGUUAUUCACCUCCAAAGCUAUUCCUUUUUUCAAAGAAUAGGUAUAAUUACUACUGGGCCCCUGAGGUUUAUCAUAUUAUAAUACUCAGG
rnacentral:lncRNA from 1 species